GACGAACGCUGGCGGCGUGCUUAACACAUGCAAGUCGAGCGGAGCGGCGAACGGGUGAGUAACGCGUGAGUAACUGCCCCCCUUUCUGGGAUAACAGUUGGAAACGGCUGCUAAUACCGGAUAGUGGGGGAUGAUUCGCGUCUUAUCAGCUCGUUGGUGGGGUAGUGGCCUACCAAGGCGACGGCGGGUAGCCGGCCUGAGAGGGCGACCGACGACAAUGGUCUGAGAUACGGCCCAAACUGCUACGGGAGGCAGCGGAGGGGAAUAUUGCACAAUGGGGGAAACCCUGAUGCAGCAACGCGCGUGCGGGAUGACGGGCUUCGGGUUGUAAACCGCUUUCAGCCAUGACGCGGUAGUGGCAGAGGAAGCACCGGCUAACUACGUGCCAGCCGCCGCGGUAAUAC
rnacentral:rRNA from 1 species